rnacentral:rRNA from 1 species
UACGGGGGGGGCGAGCGUUGUUCGGAAUUACUGGGCGUAAAGGGUGUGUAGGUGGUUGGAUAAGUCAGAGGUGAAAGCCCACAGCUUAACUGUGGAAGUGCCUUUGAAACUGUCUGACUUGAGUGCAGGAGAGGAGGGUGGAAUUCCCGGUGUAGAGGUGAAAUUCGUAGAUAUCGGGAGGAACACCAGCGGCGAAGGCGGCCCUCUGGACUGCAACUGACACUGAAACACGAAAGCGUGGGGAGCAAACAGG